rnacentral:rRNA from 1 species
UACGGAGGGUGCAAGCGUUAUCCGGAUUCACUGGGUUUAAAGGGAGCGUAGGUGGGUUGGUAAGUCAGUGGUGAAAUCCCCGAGCUUAACUUGGGAACUGCCAUUGAUACUAUCAGUCUUGAAUAUUGUGGAGGUCAGCGGAAUAUGUCAUGUAGCGGUGAAAUGCUUAGAUAUGACAUAGAACACCAAUUGCGAAGGCAGCUGGCUACACAUAUAUUGACACUGAGGCUCGAAAGCGUGGGGAUCAAACAGG